GACGUAGGGGGCCAGCGUUGUUCGGAAUUACUGGGCGUAAAGGGCGCGUAGGCGGCGCGGGUAGUCAUCGGUGAAAGUUCAGGGCUCAACUCUGAAUCGGCCGGUGAUACUCCCGUGCUCGAGCACUGUAGAGGCAGGUGGAAUUCCGGGUGUAGCGGUGGAAUGCGUAGAGAUCCGGAAGAACACCGGUGGCGAAGGCGGCCUGCUGGGCAGUAGCUGACGCUGAUGCGCGACAGCGUGGGGAGCAAACAGG
rnacentral:rRNA from 1 species